rnacentral:rRNA from 1 species
UACGAAGGGUGCAAACGUUGCUCGGAAUUAUUGGGCGUAAAGCGCACGUAGGCGGCUUUGCAAGUCGGAUGUGAAAUCCCUCGGCUCAACCAAGGAAGUGCAUCCGAAACUGCAGAGCUUGAGUACCAAAGAGGAACGCGGAAUUCCAGGUGUAGCGGUGAAAUGCGUAGAUAUCAGGAGGAACACCGGUGGCGAAGGCGGUUCUCUGGGCCUGUACUGACGCUGAGGAACGAAAGCGUGGGGAGCGAACAGG